rnacentral:siRNA from 1 species
ACGCAAAAUUCAUGGUGUUUGCUA